GCCUGAGUGGCUCAGUGGUUGAGCGCCUGCCUUUGGCUCAGGGCGUGACCCCGGGGUCCUGGGAUCGAGUCCCACAUCGGGCU
rnacentral:tRNA from 1 species